rnacentral:rRNA from 1 species
AAGGUAGCAUAAUCAUUUGCCUCUUAAUUGGUGGGUAGUAUGAAUGGACACACGCAAGCGCUGCUGUCUCAUUAAUAUAAAUAAAAAUUAACCUUCAAGUGAAGAGACUUGAAUAAAAUAAAAAGACAAAAAGACCCUAUGGAGCUUUAUUCAACCGCCCUGCAAUCUAAUAUUUAUAAAAUUUACUACAGCGCUAAUGAAUUCAGUUGGGGCGACUAAGGAAAACAAUAAAUCUUCCUUCACAUAAAGAAAAUAAUUCUCUCAAAGAUCCGCUAUGCGAAUACAGAUCCAGCUACCCUAGGGAUAACAGGCUAAUUCUUCUCGAGAGCCCAAAUUGACAGAAGAGAUUGGCACCUCG